rnacentral:rRNA from 1 species
AUGUUCUAUAUGAUAUCCAGUGGUGUCUCCAGUGCUGAGGUGGCGGGUAUGCGCCGCCAUGAUCAUCUCAAGACGGUCUUCAUGAGCGGAUUUCGCUGUUACAAGGCUCAGAUUGAGCUGGCGUGUUGUAUCUUGGGGAAUGCUUGUGUUCUUGAGCAGCUGACGAUAGAACCAAAGGUCACAAACACAAUAUGGGCGGGUAAUUAUUAUGCGUGGAAUAAAGGCCUCGAAAGAAUUUUACCGAGGGUCUGUGAGUGGGCACAGAUCACCUCGGAGCGCUUCAGUAAGGUGAUCACUGUGUUAGGUGCGCCCCUUCACAGUGAGUAA